GUCGUGUCAGGACUGGCAGACUGGUGAGCACGACACGCACACACACACACACACACACACUCAUGACACAGAUCUCACAGACCUACAGACAAAGAGAGAGAGAGAUACAGAGAGAAUGAGGACAGAAGUAAAGAAAGAAAGCAAGGAAGAAAGAAAGAGGUAGAGAUCAGUGAUGUGGCUAUGUGACCAAAUAGGGCUUCCCCUGUGGGAAGAAGGUCUACGCACAAAGAGAUGCAACAGCUGUUCGAUGGCUCUCUGUAUCCCGAUGAUGAUGAUCUAGGGCCGCUUCACCCCAGCACUACACGCAACAUGAGUGGGAAUAACCGAACCAUAAGUGUGAGAUUGAUGGGUCACACUGAGCCGGGCGUCUGGCACCUGAACACCACACAAAGUGCAGACUUCAGACUCCGCGGAGGACGGGAGUAGAUGAACAGGAAACGACAACUCCUGCGUGAUGACAAGUCAACGAGGAGUCAUAGACAGAGAGAACAAGAGGAGCGGGUGAGGGCGAAUGGGCUGAAAGAGCACAAAAACAUUCCAAAAUCAACCAAAAUAAACUUUAGACUGUUUUCAUUAUAAUUUCCAUCCACCAACCGGUUUUAACUGAAAAAAAGCCCUUACAACAUGAUGGCUGACAUAAUUCACGGCCUACUUCACUGCCUUCUAAAGUUAAAUAGGUUUGACCUGCUGCAAGAUGAUGUCCUAAAAGCCAGAUCCUGAUUACACUGAUGAUCUAAUGGUUUAUGAAGAGCUGUGGCCACACUCAUUUCUGCGGAACAUCUUAAGAACUCACAUGGGAUGCUUGCAGAUAUAUAUUUCUUUGGAUAUAUGCCCUGUCCACAUUAAGGUGAGUAAAUAUAAAUAAGCAUAUUUGAGGUGAAAGCGAUUUCCGUCCACAUUAUUGCUCUAAAGAAGUGUUUGUUGUUGGUGGUGCAUUUUCGAAAAGUAUUGUUUUCAAUGCAGAACACUCCCUUUCAGAGUGGACGGAAGGGCAAAAUGGGGGAAAUAAUUAUGUGUAUUUAUAUUUAUCUGGCUUAAUGUGGGCCGUAAUGUCCUGAAAUGUGGGCCAUAAUGUCCUGAAACUCAUCCAGAAGACCUUUUUCUGAAAUUUCUCUGGAAUUCUAGAACUUGCCCCUUAGCUUCAUUCAGAAUUCCUGAACAACUCAGGUUGAAAGGCUUGUUGCAGAGAGGAAAUGAAUGAACUGAAAAGACGCUCUGAAUAGACGCUUCUCUUGAAAGUGUAGAGAAGGGAACAAUCCCCUCAGCUUAUUGAUUUAAACGUCUUGAUGUGAGUCUUAGGAGUCAGGAUAAUUAUUAUCUCAGUGUCUAAUUGCCACUUGUUCUCAACGUUUGAUCCAUCUCUUCAGGAGGUUCCUGCGAGCUUGUCAGUAAAGAAGACAGACAUAUGGGUAUUGUUAAAAAGUACUAUCUUGUCCAUUUUGACAGCUUAGAGUCUUUAAAAUGUUUCUUUUAUUUUCAGUAUAAUGUGUCCUGUAUUAAAUGUUUUUUAUCCGCUACUA